rnacentral:rRNA from 1 species
AUACGAAAGGUGCAAGCGUUGUUCGGAUUUACUGGGCGUAAAGAGAGUGUAGGUUGUUUAUUAAGUCGGAUGUGAAAUCCCGGGGCUCAACCUCGGAACUGCAUUCGAUACUGAUAGGCUAGAGUUUGGGAGGGGUAAGCGGAAUUCCGUGUGUAGCAGUGAAAUGCGUAGAUAUACGGAGGAACACCUGAGGCGAAGGCGGCUUACUGGACCAAUACUGACACUGAGGAUCGAAAGCGUGGGUAGCAAACAGGAUUAGAAACCCUAGUAGUCC